UUUUCAGACUGACGGCUGCCAUUUUUAGGGCCAGAUUCCACAAGGGUGUCUGGUCCCAUCUGAAUCAAGCCAGGACACACACAACUUGUGUCUAGAGGCCAUUCACACCUCAUAGCACUCUUAGCUACAUGGCCUCCCAGUGUAGAACUGGAACUAAAUUAUACAACACAGAUUAUGAUUGUUACAACACAGAAGGGGACAGCGACACAGGAAUACAGGAUUGGCAGACGGAUGACAGACUUGGAGCUUGAGCAGACACAGAUGGACUCACGAGAGAUGAGGAGACAACGUGGAGUUGAGGGAACACACAGGAGACAGGUAAGUAUCUUCGGAGGAGUCCUUGAGGUAAGCAAACAGGUAAAACCAUAUGCAAAAGGAGACCAGACAGUGGCUGAGUGAGAGCGUGAGUCUUUUGUGCUGCUGUUGAUGAGGGUGCUGAUGAGCUGCAGGUGUGGGUGAUUAAUACUGUGGUGAUGAUGUGCGCUGUGUCUGUGUGAGGGUAGAGCCUGGCGUGUCUGUGACAAUGAUAGCAUAGACAUCACCCAUCUCCUUUACACAAACAUACAGAACACACCCUCACUACUACAACCUUACAACAUCUCUACCUGGCAUAGAUCAUAGGACUAUUCAGGCUAAAAUUAUUCACAUCAUCCAAAUCUAGCAUACAUCAUUCACCUUCAUACAUAUAGGACAAGGGAAAUUAUUUUCAUAAUUUCUUUUCAAUUGUGUCUAACAAUUUCGAAGCAUUACAGUCUUGUCAACUUGUAAACACUGUAAUGUGAAUAGAACAUGUGCAUGCCUAUAGUCACACAUCAAUUAAUUUAAUUUCUGAUCAUUCAAAUUCCUAACCUGGUUUAGGGGAUACAUGAAAUAGAUUAUGAAACAAAAUUCAAAAAAAGACGUAUAAAAAAGCAAGCAAAAAAUUAUUUAACAAACAUCUAGGACAAUAAAUAAUUAUAUAUAACAACAAAAAAAAACCUUUCACUUUCAGGAAAUACAGAGGAGGUAUCGUUAUAAUGAAAGAAUCAUUUUUUUCAGCAGUAGUGCAGUUUUAACAGCUUUCUUGUUGAGCGAUGAACAAAGAGAGUCAUAAAAUAGUUUUAGAUCAAUACAGAAAAGCGCAAUGUUGGGCAUACAGUCAGUAACUUUACACUGUGUGCAGAAUUAUUAGGCGAGUUGAUUUUCUGAUCAUAUUUUUUUUCGAAGCACAUUUUACCAAUUCCAAACCACAUCAAUCUUACUAACUACUAUUAAUUUUGAAUUUAAUCAUUUAUAAGUGAUAUAUAAUUGUUCAUGAAGGCUGGAAAUGAAAAAUGGCAGGUUUUCUUUUAUAGGCAAAAUGAGCCAAAAAAUAGAUUUCUAAAGUCAAAAAUUAUUAAAUGCUCAGGAGAAGGAUGCAAUACUAGAAAUUGCAAAGUUAAAGCAUGACCAAUGGACAGCAUAUCCCUCAUUGGUUCAGCAGGGUCAUGCAAAAACAGGUGGAAAAGGAAAGACAAAUGUUAACUGCAAAAUAAUUAAGAAUUAAGGUGAAUAAUUAAGUGUGAAACAUCAGGAACCCUUUAGUCUCCAUUUUCCAGAACUGCAACCUACCUGGAGUCUCCAAAAGUGCAAGGUGUUAGGAUCUCAGAGACUUAGGUUAGCUAAAGAAUCCGAAAAAAUGACCCGCACUUAAUAAGAAUCACAAGCUUAAGUGUUGUAAAAUACAUGAAAACUGGGUUUUUAUAGGCUUUAUAGACAGACAGAUCGAGAGUGACUCUUGAAGGACCAGCACCACAUCCUCUUGUACCACUGUUUGAAGAAUUUAUCUUCCAGAAUCUGGCAGUAGGUUUUGGAGGAUCAUUUUUAGUCCAUAUCUGCAAGAAGGACAUUUCAGGAUAAGAGAUGGACUAAAAAUAAACUCCAACACCUUACUUCGAAAAAUAAACUACGACACCGACACGUUUCGUGGCAGUUUCAGUGUGAAAUGUCCACUGAGUGGCGCUAAAAGCGUGUUCAGUGUUUUUCCGAAACAGAUGAACAUGGUAGCCUACGGCUGCGUCCGAAACCGCCUACUCAGUGAGUAGGUACUUAAUUUCAAUAAGUACUUACUUAACGAGCGCUAAAAGAGUAGGUACUUAAUAGCCAAAUCUCGUUGAGUGAAUGCAAUCCGAAAAUAAUCCGCCAUGUUGACGUUAUCAUGUGACCUACGACGUUAUCACAAACGCAACAACUUAAAAGAUAUGAGUGACAGGUUUAAUUCAUCUAUCUGUAAAUAUCUUGAUAUUGAUCACACUUGCUUAUUUUGUGGUCUUGUUGAAGAAACAGCUGCCAGUAAUUUUGUAAUUGUAGUACAACUAAUAUAUUUUGGGUUAAAGUUCUUAUAUUUUUAUAAUGUGAGUUUAUUUUUUUGUUGAAUAUGUUGUUAAUUUCUUUAUUUUAUAUGCAAAAAUGUUCAUCCACAAGCAAAAGUGGCAUACAUUUCAUUUGUUUUCCUUUUUUUCUUGUUGAAUUAGCUCUAGUUUCAUCCCUCAGGCUUAUAAAUAAUAAAUACUUUUAUGCAUUAUGAUGUAUUCAAAAUAUUUAACCUUAUCAUCAUGCUUUAUGUCUGUGUAUAUAAUCUCAAACUAGGAUGUAUACAAACACAUGUUUGUUUUUUGUCAUUAUUAUUGUUUAUUGUUAUGUAGUUCGGUUUUCUUUAGUGUUAUCAAUGUCUGAAGCCAAAGAAGAUAUCAGCAGCUGCUCGAAGAUCUCGCCUUUGGAGAAGACUGAUUUUAUACUCAAAAAAAUCUGUGCCAAUUCUGCAGCUUUAUUCUGAUGAAGCAGCUGAUGAACACCUUCAUCCAUCAUGUCCCUCACUGCUGCUCUUCUCAGUGGGGACAUCGUUGAUCCAGAGGAUGAGGAAGAUGAUGAUGAUGAUGGACCCCUUAAC